AUUGAACGCUAGCGGGAUUCUUUACACAUGCAAGUCGAACGGCAGCGCGGACUUCGGUCUGGCGGCGAGUGGCGAACGGGUGAGUAAUGUAUCGGAACGUGCCCAGUAGCGGGGGAUAACUACGCGAAAGCGUAGCUAAUACCGCAUACGCCCUACGGGGGAAAGCAGGGGAUCGUAAGACCUUGCACUAUUGGAGCGGCCGAUAUCGGAUUAGCUAGUUGGUGAGGUAACGGCUCACCAAGGCGACGAUCCGUAGCUGGUUUGAGAGGACGACCAGCCACACUGGGACUGAGACACGGCCCAGACUCCUACGGGAGGCAGCAGUGGGGAAUUUUGGACAAUGGGGGCAACCCUGAUCCAGCCAUCCCGCGUGUGCGAUGAAGGCCUUCGGGUUGUAAAGCACUUUUGGCAGGAAAGAAACGUCGCGGGCUAAUACCCCGUGGAACUGACGGUACCUGCAGAAUAAGCACCGGCUAACUACGUG
rnacentral:rRNA from 1 species